rnacentral:rRNA from 1 species
CAGCAGCCGCGGUAAUACAGAGGGUGCAAGCGUUAAUCGGAAUUACUGGGCGUAAAGCGCGCGUAGGUGGUUUGUUAAGUUGGAUGUGAAAGCCCCGGGCUCAACCUGGGAAUGGCAAUGGAUACUGGCGAGCUAGAGUGUGUCAGAGGAUGGUGGAAUUCCCGGUGUAGCGGUGAAAUGCGUAGAGAUCGGGAGGAACAUCAGUGGCGAAGGCGGCCAUCUGGGACAACACUGACGCUGAGGCACGAAAGCGUGGGGAGCAAACAGGAUUAGAGACCCCGGUAGUCCCUGUCUCUUAUAC